rnacentral:rRNA from 1 species
UUGAACGCUGGCGGCAGGCCUAACACAUGCAAGUCGAACGGUAACAGGAAGCAGCUUGCUGCUUUGCUGACGAGUGGCGGACGGGUGAGUAAUGUCUGGGAAACUGCCUGAUGGAGGGGGAUAACUACUGGAAACGGUAGCUAAUACCGCAUAACGUCGCAAGACCAAAGAGGGGGACCUUCGGGCCUCUUGCCAUCGGAUGUGCCCAGAUGGGAUUAGCUAGUAGGUGGGGUAACGGCUCACCUAGGCGACGAUCCCUAGCUGGUCUGAGAGGAUGACCAGCCACACUGGAACUGAGACACGGUCCAGACUCCUACGGGAGGCAGCAGUGGGGAAUAUUGCACAAUGGGCGCAAGCCUGAUGCAGCCAUGCCGCGUGUAUGAAGAAGGCCUUCGGGUUGUAAAGUACUUUCAGCGGGGAGGAAGGGAGUAAAGUUAAUACCUUUGCUCAUUGACGUUACCCGCAGAAGAAGCACCGGCUAACUCCGUGCCAGCAGCCGCGGUAAUACGUCGUGACUGGGAAACCCCCUGGCGA